ACGAAGAGCUGAGGCACAGGAAACCCAUGAAGCAUUGUUCUGCAUUUGAGGGCUCUUGGCUAAGAACUCUGCGAUUAGAAGUGAACGAUACAUUUCCUAUGGCUAGAAUCUCACAUUCCAUCAAAAGAAGCAAACAACAAAACCCUACUUACUGCACCUUUCUAUCUCUGCUGUCUGCUGAGACACUGUUCUCAUGCUGUUGCUACUGCAGGUCUUGGCUCUGUACAGGCAGAACAUACUUCAUAGAGGGGAGGGAAAUAAAGGUGGAAAACAUGGAAGAGGCAAGAAAAAACCAAUAUAUUUCACAGCUGUGGUUUAAAGUUUCUCAUAGACUUUGAAAUGUUAGAAUAACACUGUGGGAGAUGGAAUAGCAGAGCCAGAGCAGGGGAAGCAGUCCAAUGAAAGCAAUAUAUUACAAGCCUUGAAGAGCUGACUUCAAGGCCUCAUUUAACUGAGAGUGUAGCAAAACUUGUUUCAAGACUAAAGCGUGCAGAGAACAAUUAAUUUUCUCUGAAGACCCCAUUAUCUUAAUGCUUUCAUUCUUAAUCCUCUUUCCUCAAUUGCAAAAAAAGGGAACUUUUUUUAAGAAGUAGCUUGGUUACUUUUUUAAGGUUUUGCUUCAAAACGUUAUUACAGAUGAGACAUUUUCUACAGCAAAUUUAAAAUGGUAAAUAAUUCUUUGCCAUAGAUAGAAUUCUGAAUAAAUAACUUAAUAGAAAGACAAUGCCUCAAAAUCUCAAAACCAUAAAGGCAGGAAUUGAGAAAUAAAAUGGGAUGCUAUGCUGUGGCCCUUUGUUCAUUUAUUAAUGUUUAAAAAGAAAAUGUUUUUACUGCAGGUUAAAACCAAAGCAAAUUUUAAUGCCCAAACUGUGGCAAAAAUGCUUGAAUAUGAAAAAGACUAUAUUUUAUUUCAUUAAAAAUAUUGUCUUUUCUUUCUAAAACACAAUAUUUACAAUAAUACCUUUCUGCCUUAAUAAAAAGAUCAACUCAAGUCAGAACAGUUCUUGCUGAGCCAUUUUCAUUGCCAAUUUCUUAAAAGACAACAAAAAUAAGUAUGAAACUUUGUGGGCUGAGCACCAUCUGCCCAUGCUGUAAUUUCAUUAACAAUUAUAUUUUGAGACUGUCACCUGUAAAGCAAGUUUUCCACAUGUAAACUGGUAUACUGUUUUUACCUUUUACCUUCCUUCAAUUCUCUCCUGCUGCUCAGAGGUUUAUGCACCAGUGCUGACUGCUGCUAUUUGCAACUGAACCAAGGAAGUCAAAGGAAAAUACAUUGUAGCCUAGGAAAGCAAGAGCAAUACUAAAAUGUUACUGAAUUCAAGGAUUAGAAUGAGGGAUUCAAGAAAACAUCAUAAGAGAAAGUUAAAAAAGUACAGGCCACCAUAUAGCAGCAAGUUUAUUCAAUUAGUUUAUUAUAAUAGAGAGAAAAAAUAAAAGAGCGAUUUGUUCCCUUGCAAAGAGGCAUGCUUAUGCAGGGAGAAACAUGCUUAGUUCCUGAUUAAUACAAUUCUUUUUAAAGCAUCAUCUCUUAAUUAAAAAAGUAGUCAUUUUUGUUUCAGUUAUAAUGGCUGUAUGCAGCCUGGUAAGAGAAUUAUUUUAUUUCCACAUGGGAAAUCCAUGGAUUUUCAGAAAAUAGGAAUUUUGUGCUAUAAAAUGCACGUGGAAGGAAAGCAGUAGCCUAUUUCAAAAACAGCUUACACAGUUUUGGGUUUUUUCAAAUUUCAGAACUGCUAAUUCAAAUGAUAUUCCAAUGAAUAAGCAAACAUUUCAAAACUAUUUCAUCUCAAGCAAGGGGAACACAAGGAUGCUUGUUUGAAAAACAAAGGUAGAAUACAAGUAUCAGCUUUCUCCUCCAUAUCUUUGCACAGCUAUUAACAACAAAAUACUUCUUCCACAAAAGCACAUAUCUUCCCCACAAGCUCCUUCACAGAGGAGGAGGCUAUAAUUAAACUGAUAAAUCCUAAUCUGCCAUAAAGCACAAUCUUAAACCGUUUCAGUUUAUAGAAACCCACUGAGUUUAAUUUUUUCUUCUACAACCUCUAUUAAGCGAAAAGCCAGAAAAGCCCCAAAUCCAAGCCUGAACAGUAGCACAGGUUGUGAGGACAUGCAUGCUGCUGGCUGCUAACUACUCCCCUUUGUUGGGGACAUCUUCCUUCCCCAACACACCACCUGAGCACUGCCCUUAGUACUGGGGGGAACCUCACUCAGCAAAACUGUGUCUAACCUAAUGCACUGUGAGGCAGAGGUGCACUGCUAAAGACAGACUUGAGCAAGAUAAAUUUCCCUUUGAUUCACAAAAAUAUUAAAGAAAACGGAUGGAGGAGGUGGCCUUUUGACCAGCAUGAGCUCUACCGGAGUUGAAGCUGACCAGAACUGCGGGGGACAAUAAAAUGAUUUGUUUAAGAUACAUUGUCAAAAGGCAAUUCAGAAAUGACAUCAGCCUGUUACAGGAGGAGGAUGGUGACCUCACAGUCAGGGAUACUGACAAGGUGGAGAUGUUUAAUGCUUUCUUUGCUUCUGUCUUCAACACUGAUGAUGGAUUACCCUGGCUGUGAAAAUGUUAAACUUCCAGUUGACCCUGAAGAGCCAAGGAGUCUGCUGCUCCAUAAAGCCUCUCUGGGUGACUUUUGAAAGGUCUUGGGAAUCUGUAGAUAUCUCAGUUGACAAGAAGUUGAUUAACAAUGUUCUAAUUUUCAAAAAGGCCAAGAAGGAGGACCAUAGAAACACAGGCCACAGGCCUGUCAGUCUCAUUUUAGUGACUGGUGAAGUUGUGGAGAUUAUUCUGGGAGGUUUAGAAAAACGCCAGAAAGACAACACAGUCACUGGUUACUGCAAGCACGACUUCAUGAGGGGAGCAAAACCUUGCUUACCAAAUCUGAUUUCCUUUUAUGACAAGGUAACCCAAGUAGUUGAUCAAGGGAAGCCAGUCAACGUAACCUUUUAGGAUUUUACUAAAGCUUUUGAUACCAUCUCUCAGCAUCCAUCUGGACAAAACAUCCACCACACAGCUGGAAAAGCACCAGUGGUGACAGGACCCAAGGGAAUGGCCUGAUGCUGUGUCAGGGGAGGGUUAGGUUGGCUGUCAGGAAGAGGUUCUCCACCCAGAGGGUGGUAGGGCACUGGAACAGGCUCCCCAGAGGAGUGGUCACACCACCAAGCCUGACAAGAAGAGUUUGGACAACGCUCUCGGGCACAUGGUGUGACUUUCAGGGAUAGUGCUGUGCAGGGCCGGGAGUUGGACCUGAUCAUCCUUGUGUGCCCCUUCCAACUCACAAUACUCUGUGAAGAAUCAUGGAGUAUGUUGCUAAUUCUAAUGUUGCUAAUUUUAAACUAAUCGUCCAGAGCAGACAUUUGUUUUCCACACUUACAGAGUAAAUCUAGUAAUUAAAUAUAACUGUUGCCAGACUUACAGUCCUCUCAGAUUAUAUGGCCUAGUUACUGUAAAAAGCAUCCUCCCAGCCCCCUCCAAGGUAGAAGUCAAACCUAUUAAUGUAACAGCUUAUCCUGCCCUAUUUCCACUUGGCAGUCUCCUGUAACGCUGAUUUAAUAUCUGACAAAAAUAGGACAAAGACGCUGUCAUUUUUGAUUAGAGAACGUCAGCUCAGUACAAGCAAUUUUAACUCUGCUGAGCUUGGGUUAGGGAAGGUGAAUGCUGUUUGGCCAUGUGGAGAAAAAGCUAUGUAUCUGCUUCUGGAUAAUGCUGUCCUCCUGAAGACCCAAUGAGUCUUUUGCAAUAAUGAAAUUUACUGGCAUCAGAAUUUCUAGUACUUCAGCUUAGCCAUCCAUAUUCACUAGCUUUAAAACUGAGAGUUAACUAUUACAUAGAAUUUCAUUUAAAAGAGGAAUUUAUUACAUGUUAUUUUCAAUGGCCCACUAUUUGGCCCCUAUGCAGCACAAAUUACCACUUCUAUUUAAUUUUUUUCGCCCAAAACCACAAAUUUACAGACUAACCAAUUGAUGGUGUCGAUCCCAAUUUCUGUGGUGUUACUCACAGUUCAUUCAUUAGGUACUGCAACAGAUUAAUAGUUUUACCUGUGUGAUCACCAAGACAGAUACAACUUCAAGGUUUUUGUUGCAUUAUCUUAUCUAAGGGUGCAAAGUCACCUUUCAUCCUAUGCUGAGGAUGCUGCCAAAUGCUCCCUGAAUACCCUAGAUCACUCUUCUCCAGCAAUGGGAUUCUUGAAAAGCAAAUGCCAGUCUUAGCUUAAGAUCUUUGAUUUUUCAUCUUUUCAGUUCUUUUACAUUAUUCAUAAAUGGCAACACUUGGGGCUAAAAUAGGACAAAAGGAAUCUUGUCACAUACAUAAAAAUGGUGCAAAACUGCCCUUUGAAGAGGAGUAGACAUAUACAUAAUUAACAGUCUUGACACAGUGAGUUCUUUACCUAACUUAAUACAAUGGUUUUUGAAUGACAAGAGAGUUCAAGAAAUUUUAAAUAUAAUUUAUAUAUGUAUACUAAAUUGUAGGCAUCAUAUAGGCUUUCUUUUUUCCCCCAUUUCUUCACAUUAUUUGCUCUGUGCUCACUGAUUCUGCAACAUAACUGGAAGCAUUUGUCAAAUUAUUUCCUUUUUAAUAUGAUAGGGAUUGGGGUUUUUAUACUCUUUCAAGGGUGAUAGAUUUUUACAAGCUUUUUCAAAGCAAAUUUAGAUAAAACCACAUAUUAAAAAAAUAUAAUUUAAUAUCUCGAAACAUUUUGCCUAUUAAUGUUGCUAGCGACACAAAAGAUUACUAUCAGAAGUGAUGGUUACUUUCUACAACAGCAAUACUUUGGCCAUAGCAAGCUCAUUAUCUCACCGUGCACAGCCUUCAAACCAAACUUGUUGAGCACCAAAAGUUUGCCAAGGUGUUAAUUUCUGGUGAGUGUCACACAAGAAGUGGUGACUUAUUACAGCUCUGAUUGUAGAAGGCAGUGUGGCUACAUCUAGCCCUGCACCUGAAUAGAGCUUUUCAAACGCAGCUGAUGAAUGAUUGUGUUCAGCUUUCAGAUAAUGCCAGAGUAGCAGAACUGAUGCAGUGUCCUUUGUGUUUGUGUCACUCAAUUACAGAAAGGCAAACCAGUUUAAAAAGUGACCUAUGUAUAGAUAACUAAACAUAACAAUUGGAGAGAGAUUAUUUUGUCAUUUAAUCACACAGGUACCUCCAUGCAUCACAUUUUUACCAAGUUCAGAAAGCUCACGGCCCUUUACUACUGAACACUACUGCCCCUUUUACAUCUGAUUUUUUAUCUUAUUUAAAUUCCUGCCUUUCCUCCAGUAAUGGUAUCAACUGCAAAUUGCUGUGUCUCAGUUUCUCUUCUAAACACACUUACUCCUUAAGGGACACUGAACAAUUUCCUCUGGGAUUUCCACACAAAGAAUCUAAUUUAAACCACAAUUACAACUGAAGUUCAGUCUGCAACUUGUCAUUAAGAUCUCAGUGACAAUCAAGCCAAGGUAUACAGGAUAUUAGCAGUUCUUAAAGUGGGGAAGAAGGGGUGUCACCAAAAAGCUCAAAAAAUGUCCAUUCAGCUUUUAUUUCCUCUUAUUUUUCUAAAGCUUUUGCCUCCACAUCAUAAAUUCUCCACCUUCUAUUGGCCAUGUGGGAAUUGUAAUGUUUAAACUUGGCAGUUGGUGAAGGCCUGCAGCCCCAGCUGCAAGAUCAUCAUCUGGUUUCCUGAACCAGAGGGAUGUGCUGGAAUUGUGACCUGACCAGGGCACUCAGCAAAGCCUCCUGUCCCUAUCCAAGGGCAACCACUCUUCCCUCACUCUGGCAUGGCUGCUGUAACAUCUGGCAGCAAGGACAGAUGCCCGUCCUGGCAGGGAAAUGGGAGUAUAAAUGUCUAAGGGUGGGAGACUGACCUCACAAGCUCCUGUUAAGCACAUCUGGUACCCGAGACACACACACUUUUGGGGUGGAAGGAGGGACAGUUGUCCAACUACCCAUGCACGCUUUGAAAAAAAACCCUUGCAACAUGGUCCAGAAAGUCUGAGAACUACUGAUAAACAAAUAAGACCUAAACAAAAUCCCAGUAAAAUCAUGUCCCUUACAGACACAAAAUUAAAUGCCUUCAAUGUAUGGCAAGUCCUUUGGUGGGUCAGGUGUUGUGGUUAUGGAAAAUGCUGAAUUUACUGUAAUGCUUUGAAUCUGAAGCACCAAGUUCCCAGAUAUAAGGCCAAGCAGCCUGUGCCAAAUUUUCAGGAAGCUCUCCUCAUUACACCUGUGAACAGGACAGACUACUGAAUUUAUUUUGUGGGUUUAGCAGUCUCAUCACUACAUUUCUGCCUUGUGCAAGGUCAGGCAAGGCACACAUUUCCAGCAAAUCUUUUACUGCUUUACUAAUCUCCCUGUGGACCCUAGGAACACACUGGACACCGUUCUUCACUGUCCUUCAUACAGAUAAAUGAAUAGGAUCAUUUGUAAUUGGUCAGAUUUGGAGAGUUAAAGUUGACCUACAGUACAUUUACUCCUUUAAAUAAGCUUUCAACUUUUCAGUAACAAAUCUUUCUUUACUGUUUCAGCCCAUUGGUUCUGCCUGCUGUACUACCUACUCCUUGACAACAGCAGCUUUAAGGCUGUACCUCUGAGGCUGAUCAUUAGCAACACAUCUCGCUGGAGAACAACAAAUACUGUAGCCGGGAUCCCCACAGCAAUCUUGUUACCAUGAAUGGCCUCAGUGGUGUGAUUGGAACAUGGUGUGACUCCUGAGGUGUCCUGCACAGGGCCAGGAGCUGGAAUUGAUGAUCCUCAUGGGUCCCUUCCAACUCAGCAUAUUCUGUCAUUCUAUGAUUCUCAAUCAUUUCCUGCUGGCUCCAGAACUGUGUGUGACCCCUUGAUCCAGAAGACCAGAAGGUAUCAGAAAGCAUCCAAAAGACAUAACAUAGUAAUCAAAUCAAUGAUUCUACCUAAUUUUUCUCACAGCCUUGCAAUCCCUACUAUCAGUUAGCAGGCAUCCUUACUUACACAAAAGCAGACGUGCACUUAAGACUGAGAACAGACCUUGAUAUAUUUUCAUUGUUUCGAUUUGAUUUCGUUUGGAAACUGAAAGUUCUUAAGGAUCAGUUAGUCUUUAGAUAUUUCUGAUAAAUCUCUCACUCCAAAUCCCACAAGCACUUUUUCCUCAAAUGGAUUCUUGGAGGAAGUUCCAAGUGAGGUUACCCAGAGAACAGUUCUGUCCUCCCAACUUCUGCAUAUGUGUCAGUGAGAGUCUUCUUUGGAAAGAAAGGCACUAUCUCCAACUACGUGUAAUGCUGUUAGUAUCACUUUGUUGUCAUUUCCUUCCUACUUCUCCACUUUCAUUUUUGUUUUGAAAACUCUCUGUACAUUAAUAAUUUUUACUUUCUGAAAGACCUCUGAAAUCUUUUAAAUCAGUAGAAAAAACCCACAAUAUUUGAAAGGAUAUUAAAAAAAAAGUACAUAUUUAUAACACUGAAAGAUUUUCUGUAUUACCUAUUGUCUGCUGCUAUGGGUAGGAAAACACUGAAGGUUAUAAACAUAAAAAAGAACAACACAGCAAAUCUUUUCAUCUUUGCAUCUUUAAUGCUUUGGUGUUAUUAAAAAGUGCCCAGGGUUACACUGCAGAGAGGAAAAGGAUACCGCCUGAAGUUAGCUAAAAAAGCUAAAUUCUAUUUUUAGCUGGUACUGUCUGACAAGGAAUUUCAUAUUUGCUGGUUAGAGCUUUUAGCGCAAGAAAAGGGAGGAGGGUGUUGUACGGGAAGAAGAUUUAUCUGUCAUCUUUUGCUUAACAAACUUUUGGGCAACUGACAACAGAGCAAACACACAUUUCUAUGACUGAACAAAGAGCACACCACGGCAUUUCUGAGAAGCAGUUAAGAUUAAACUCCUACUUCCCUUAUGCUGAAGCUGAACCAAGGCACACACUGUUCCCAGGUGCUGCAGGGAGCACACUCCAAGAUACAAGCUCAGCUCAGGGGGCCAGCUCUGCCUCUCCUAACACAAUGCAGGGUAUGCAGGUCCUAACCUCUGGAUAUAUUCCUGGGCUCUGACAGCUUCCCACUAAUAUGCCAGAGCACUGCGAGUAGGAAACACAGUCGUUACUGUUUCAUAACUCAUAUCCCUUACCUGAGCAGCUUCUGAGGUGGAAAGCACUUCAACCCAAAACAUGAACUCAGUAAUAACAACAAUGUUCCACAGAAAAUGAUGGAGCAGCAUGUGUUACUCUCAUAUAUAUCACAAAGGCAAGUAAAUAGCUGAUCCAGCUAAUUAAUCAGAUAUUCUGUUUAGAUUUCAUCUUUGACAGUGUUUACUUAAUAUAAUUGUAUUUGUUCUCAACAAAGACUGAAUUAUUUCCUGAGAUGGCUGUCAUGGAUAUUUCCUCCUCAGGUCAAGACCAGGUAAUCAAGACAGAAUGAUGCUUUAUCAGGGGCAGAACUGUAAAACCAAUUUUUUUGCAUUUCCUUUACUGGUACACAAACCAGCUAAAAAAAAAAAAACAAACCUUCUGAAUUAGACCUCACAUGUGGAUGGAAGUGGAUACAAGGGUUCAGCUCAAAAGUCUCUGAGGAAAAGCCUUUAGGCUCAUGAGAAAAGAAAGCAUGAUGCAUUACAGCACCUGAGUAAGUUGACGCAGCACACCCUCACCAGGGCUACAAUACUUCAGUGGUCACCUCAGAAUAAGCAUCUGAGGAUGGUCACUGCCCUACAAAGCAAUGCAACCACAUUUUUUUCCCCCGAGAUUGUCCCUUUGAAUGUCUGUUCACAGCUCUUUCCUGAGCAGGAAAAGUAAUUUGACCGGUUUAGAUGCAAAAUGUCUACUGCCUGAUAUUUUCUUCGGAGGUAUACAAAUAAAUUCCUGAAAAUUUUUCCACACACAGAAAAUCCCAUGUCGUGUCUAGAAGAACAGAUUACAGAAACUUCACCACUUAAUAAACUGCUUAUCUUCAAAAAAACUGCUAUGGCCUAUUAUCUCAGCAGUAACUGCCAAGAUACAGCAAACUGUAACAGCUUCAGAAGACAGAGCAUCUGCUGAAGGAGUCCAAAGUAAUUUCCAGUUUUCAAAAACAAGAGUUAUGUCAACUCAUUUGCUUUACACAAUUAUCCAAAGCAGCCCAUUGAGAGGUCCAAGAUCAUUAGUGAACAUAUAAUAAAAGACCCCUUUUUAAGAUAAUCACUGGAAAAUUUUAUGACUUUACCAAGAUUAAAAUAAUCUUGGCUAAUCUUACUUCAAGCAGAUCUCCUUAAGUCCAGUUAUGCUCCUGAGCUCUAAAACAUCUGGUGAAAACGGAAGAAUUACUUUGACUCCUUCUAAGACCCUGGUGUCAAAGGGUCAGAUUAUUUUCACCUGACUAAUACAAGGCCAUGGCAAGACCCAUACUAUAGAUUAGCUCGUCUGACCUCCUGCAGCAUUUCUGGAAGUUAGCUGAAGCGCUGCCUGCCUCGCAUAUCACCUGUGCUCCCACCAUUUCGGGCAUAGGAGACCUGCACCACCAGCUGGGUAAAUCCAGCGCCUUUUGCCUUUCCGUGCGCUGCUCUUAAAUUACCUGAUCUCCUGCUUCUCCUUGGCCAAACCUGCCCUUCGGUUACUAAAGCGUCGGGAAGCCGAUCCGCGGCAACUAGGCAGCAGGUGGAGGCUCCACAGGAGGGUAAUAUUUGGGGACGUCCCAAGCCACUGCAGCCAUGAACCACUUGAAAUCUUUACACUUGAGGUGCUUGCGCAGCUCCUUCUGGGCAGAGAUGUCACCAGUGGAGAGAUGUCUGUACUCAGGCCGUCGCUGGUAAAUGUACUCUGCAAACUCAUCCAUCCACGUCUCGGCCACUCGCUUCAGGUUCUGCAUGGCACAAAAAAGAAACACUAACUACAAAAUGCUGAGAUCCACUCUGUAAUAAGCUGGAGGACAACAUACAUCUGAUUACCAUCAACAUAAGCCAUUUUCUUGAGCUGACUACAGGGGACCCUAGCCCCAGAGAUGAUUAAACUUGUUGAUCUGGACAGAAAAAUGGUUCUAUUUUCUUUUCUGCUGGAUUAGUUCUCUGUUGGCUUGUUGGACUGAGCUCAACACUUGAGCACAAACACAGCAUCUGAGCAAAGAAGACCACGUUUCUAAUGCAGUAAAUACAUUGACAGCUUUCAGAAUUCAAAUGUUGCUCUUCAACUUACUCCUUGAAGUUGUGGUAGAAGGGGAACACAAAGGCAUCUAUGCUGAACAGGAGGGAAACUACACGCUUUAGAAAGUCAAACCCAACCAUGCAACUCCAUCAAUGCAGAUCAACACUAGCCUUAUGAGUCUUACAGCAAGAGGCCAGAAGGAACACAUUCAGGCUGAUGGCUGGUCAGAGAGAGAAGAAAAGACAAAGCCAUGGGAGACCUGGAUGGCUUCCAGGCAAUGUUUCCUUAGCAGAGAGCCAACAUGAAACUGGGUCCUGUGCCCUGUGUCUUGCAGCAGUGAAGCCCCAAGGGAAAAUUAUUCCAUCCUGGGGCAUUUUUUGUUUUGAAUUACUGCUGGUGGUUUAUUUGGGACUAUGGGAGCAGAUGGUAUCAUCCUAGAAGCCCUGACUGGAAAAUAAAAACUUCCCCCUUUGCGACUGGUUUGGGAUUUGGCAGUGAACUUGGGACUGGCAAAUAUUUCAGGAAUCCAUGCGUAAGUUAGACAUUUACUGAAGAGGACAUCAUGUUAAUGGAAUAUUCUGCCAUAUUUUCUGUGCCUUAACACUUUUUUAGAUUGCUGUCUUUUAUCCAAGGCAGUAGAGAUGAUAAAAUAGCAAGCAAACAGCUGAGUGGUCUCUGCCACCAUCAGGCAGCCAGUGAAUCUCACACAUAAAUGUUAGAAAAUUAUCCCCUCAUUUGCAUUCAUGGUAAUGAGAAACAUUAUGGAUAAUUUUCCUUUCACUUCUAUAUGGUAGCUUAAAAAAAAAAUUAAACUACCCAUUUUCAUGACUCUUACAGACUAAUUUCAUUUUCCUUUAGAGAUUACUUUUUUAAAAGCACAUAGAAGCUUUGAGAAACAAAGCUUUGUGAAAAAAAAUCCAAACUGGCAAGGCUGUGCAGUGUAACAUAUACUGAAUGCUAAUACUUUUUUACUUUUAUUGACAUUUCAUAUUUCAAUAUUGACUGUAUUUUCAUAUACGAAUAAAUUAAAUAGAGAUUUUAGUAGAAACCUUCCCCUGAGGAUUCUGACUACUACAAUACAUUUUCAAUUGCUACCAAAGUAAAUCUAAUUACAACAUGUCCUUUUUGACUUCAGGUUUUAAAUGAUGAAAACAUAAUAUCCUUUUAUAAAGAAAGACUUACAACGAGAAUGCUUAUAACUAAAUUGCUACUGACAGAAGAAAUGUAGUCCCAGAAAUCACUGGGAAAAUGCAGGAUUUCUCUACUUCUCAUCGAAACAAUAUCUUUCCUAAGCAUUUCCCUCAGUACAGUGAAUGGUCUAGAAAAAAAGGCAAUUGCUGCAGGUAAAUCAGAUGGAAGAUAAAAAAAUCAGAGACUUAAAAUUCCAAAAUAAUUGGCAAAUACUUACAAAUUAUAUUUGAAUAGAAAGAUUUUUCCAGUGAUAAAUCUUGAGUAAUGAAACCCCUUGUUCUUUAGAUGUGAAAGUUCAGAACAUUUAUUGCAAUUAACAAAACUACCUAAUGACUGGAACCAUUGCAAACCCAUAAUUUUUGCAUUUCCUUAAAAAAAAAGUGAAGAAAUUGAAUGUAAUGUUGCCCCAUUAAUUCCUAUUCCACAAGAUGUUCUGACAUUUGUUGUUUUGUAGGAAGAGCAAUGAAGAGGAAAAGCAGGAUGGCCUUUUGGUUUUCAUUAGAGUGGAAUUAGUAAUAAGCUGUGUGAAACUGAGUGCUUGGCACAGCAUGAAUUCCACUCCAUGCCACAAGCAGCUACUGCUGAACAGGCCUUAAAUUGUUUCCAAAAUAUGAAGGCAAGAGUCCAGUCUUGCAAUCAUGGCUGAUAUGAAAAGUCCUUAUGUAUCAAUAGGAUCACUUACACAGAUAAAAGAACUGCACUAAGUCCAAAGAAGAAUUAAUCUCUUGUUUAGUGGCUUCUGUAUAGAAAUGUCAAGUACAAAGCUAUGUUUGUAAGAAAUUUUUUAAUGAAAUGUCCUACUCAGAUGCUUAAACAAUCAGACUUGAGCUAUUAUAGCAAAAUAUUAUGUGAGUAAUUACAGUGGAAAGCUGUAAAGUGCUUAUGGUCAAAACUCUAAAAGGACAAAUGCUCCUAAAACAUCAGAAAAGCUGGAAGGGUAAAGUUGCUAAACUUAAAAAUAUUUGUAACAAUCCUUUCACCUGAGAACCACUGCACAGACUCAUUGAAUAUACAUGAAAGAACAAUACUGGAAGUAAAAGCUAGCUGAUUGAAAAAUAGCCCAACUGGUCAAGGAUUGCUGUGCUGAGAUAGAAAAAGAAUUUGAUUCAGUUAGAGUGUAAAACCCCACAAAACUUUCUUUGCAAAAAAUAUAGACUGAGAAAAAGGCAGGCAAAUGCUUAACGGGGAAAGAUCGCUUACAAACAAAAAGCUGCACUAAAAGAAGUGCAGCAGUAGCUCAAACUGUAGCCAGCAAAGAUUUUUAUAACUGCUUGCAAUUAACAUGCAGAGGAAAGGAGAUAAUUUCACCUAUGAAUUUUCACAGUAAGAGAAAAAUGACAUGAACUUCAAAGGAGCGUGAAGCUACUUGCAAUAGAAACAAAUGUGGUAUGUUACAAAGAAGAGAACUGCAUAGCAGGGCUUAGAAUCAUUACACUGCAAGAGUGAUACACAGAGUGGAACUAAAGGAUUUGUGAGAAGGGAAGAGAAGCUCUGACAGCCUGCAAAACGAAAAUGAGGGAAAUGAAAAUGGGAAAGUACUUGUGCUGGAUGAUGUGCACAGUACACAUCACUCCUAUCAGUGAUGUGCACUGAUAGGAGCCACCUGCCCGGAACAGUGAAAUUUGGCCAUUGUAAUUGAAUCCAAGGAACGGCACAUAUCGCACUCUGCACCCCUCUGUAUAACCCACACUGAUUGAAGGCUCUGUGCUGAACUACUGAACAGAGAUAGAUGAAUGCUGGAGAGAGGAGUUCAUCUCGUGCAGGACACAUCAGACAAACUGACCUUCAGCGCCAAACCCACUGGCACAUUAUACAAAACCAAGGCAAACAGCCCACAACAGAAAUCAGGACUAGGUCCUACUGACCUCGUGGCACCAGGGAUGUAAUGGGAAAGGAGGAAAGGGACAAUGUUGCUGCUGGCACAAUGGCAGCUCCAGAAAUGACUGGUGACCUACUGAAUGCAGCUUUGGGCUAGGCUUCUGCAUUUUUUAUAAUGAAUUUCAAUGUCUUGUCAAGCAAGAAGCAUCCCUUCACCUUGGUGAUACCACAGCAAGGCACCUCAGGAGGGGGAAUAAAUUCAGUUACGUUGUUUCACUGCUGACUGCUCCAGCUUCUCUCUGCAGUGAGUCCUGAUACUGUAAAAAAGCUUCUCAAAGCAAAGAGCAGAAGCUGACACUAAUCCUAAAUAAAAGUUUGAAAAAACCUGAAAAUUCAAAUUUAUGAAUGUGUAAUGUGAGUGAUAGACUUGGCUACUCUGAGGAAGUGAAUGCAGAAGUAAAUCAAACUGAAAUUAAGAGGAAUUGAUCAGACGGCAAGGAUGUGAUGUAGGUUAAGAAAGUAAAUGACAUAAAUAAAAAUUUAGUGGUUGCUCCACCUAAAGACAGUUUCUAUACUGUGCAUAGUAAAAGAUGUCAAAGUAGCUGAAAGAAUAUUGAUAAGGCUUUGUGAAUUUCUCAAGAAGUAAAAAAAAAAAAAGUGGAAUACUUUAUAUACUUAAUUCUCUAAGCAAAUACAAUUAAAAUGCAUUUUCAAAUGCACCGACUCUUUUACAUCAAAUAUUUCUGUAAGGCAUUGUUUUAUCUUUUAUCCAUUCUAGCAACAUGACCCAUUUCAAUGUUUAUAAAAUCAUCAACACUCAGAAAGUAAAAUCUGUCUCUGUAACAUUAACCUAAAGCAAUUACUCUUUCUUUUUUAACUCAAGCGUCCCUAUUUCUGAACAACUUUUACCCUAGAUAAAUGUAUGUAAACUACCAGUUCAAAUGAUCAUUGUGCUGAAACAGGCAGCGGCCAAGUUGUAUUAAACUCAACUUCCAAGUCUCUCUACAAUCACAUUCAAUUUUUAAACUCCACUUUUUUUUUGAGAAAUAUUAAGAUAAAACCCCAUUCUUCAAAUCGUGAGCUAGAAAGCUGUGGAGAGUCAGCUACAAAGAAACUUCUAAAAGUGCUUGACUUUCAGUUUAUAGAAGUUUCCACUGUAAUUUCAUCACAGAUUCUUGUUUUUCUUAUUACACUACUAAACUUAAUUAAAAAAAAUUGUAUUGUAAAAAAGCAAUGAGUCCGUAUGUGGAUGAUGAGGCUCUUUUAGCUGGGUAGAGAUUGAAGACUCUGAAGGAAAGGCUUCCCCUUCCCAUAAUUACCUCUCAUAAUCCAAGAGAAAUCUGUCUGAAUUAUUGUUAGAGGAGAUCUACAGCACUCAAACUAAGCAGGUGGGUCAGCACAAAUGAGCAUCCUGAAGGUAAAAGUAAAUGAAAGCUUCUGGAAAUGUCCUGCAGGCAAGGAUAUUCAGAAGGAUAAAACCGAGGAGCAAAUGAACAGCUGGAAGUCAUGCUAAAGAGACAAAUCUCAUACACAAGCAGUCUCACAAGACUGAGGCCUGAGUGCUGCAAAAGCAAGAAAGCAGAGCUGAGAGCAGCCCCUCAGCUGAGCCACAUUCAUGUCAUGAGCAGGGAUAGAUCCUGGACACAUGGGGUUCAACAGCAGCAAAAAAUCCUUCAAUCUAUUAGUAGGAAGAACUACUAGAGAAAACAAAAACAGCCUCUAAACACAAUUUGAAACAACUCUGUUGGUUUAGCACCUUUUCAUAUUGAUGGAUAUUAUCUGCAUUCAUAAUUUUCCCUUGAAAAUUAUAAUCCUUGAAAAUUAAAUGUAAAAAGAAAGAUAGAUUGGAGGUAAAAUAGUAUCUACUGUCCCUAAAAUAGGAACUUCAGGUUUCCUGGCUUUUGCUGAGCUUUGAUUUGAUUCCAUGUUUCUGUGAAUAACAACAGUUCAUUAAAUCCCAUCACUAUCUUCGAUGAAGUUCUCUCAGAACGUAUGGGGGCAGUAUCUGAACAGAAUUGCUAUCCAAAGUUUUCUUCCCCUCCUUAUACAGGAAGAUAUAAACCAGAAAAUGAUCUUCCAGGGCUUACUUUUGCUUUAUUAAUUUAAUUAAGCCCAGUAAAGCAUCAUAAGCAAAGUUUAAACUCAAGGAGAAAUUUUCAAUUUCAUUUAAGAUAAUAAAUGGUGCCUUUUGAAACAUAACCACUGGCCUGAAAAUAGGUUCUUAUUUUCAAAAUAGUCCUUUAACUCAGACUCUGUCCUCCCAAGGCAGAUUCCUAGAUUACAAAUCAAAUCCGUUAGGAGUCUGCCAUUAAAAGUUACAGAUGAUUUUUACUAAGUUAUUUGGAUUACUACAGCCUUAUGUUUUCUAGAACUCUAAAACAUUAUGUACUUAUUGCAGAUUAAAGUAGAUUUAAAGACCCAAAAUAGCUUUGUACAUAAGGUGUACACCCAGCAGCUUGGGUGGUUUUAAGAAUGACCAGCGAGGAAAAGAAGCCCUUCUGAUAAAUACACCACAUGCUUCUGUACAGCACCAUGUGCAUAUUUGUAGCAGUUGGGGACUUGGAAAAAAGACCAACAAGGCUGAAUUGCAAAUCAAGGCUGAAUUGCAAUCACCACCAUAAACUCCACACAAAAGAGAAGCCUUUGCUUGUUCUGGAUGUCCUGCAGUAUUUCAGGCUCUGGCUUUGUUUGUGCAACACCAAAUUGAUUCAGGUGGGCAAGUGAGAAGGGUUAGUAUUAAAGCACUGCAAGGAAAUGGCACCUGGAGUUUCAGUGAUUUUUCUUUUCUGUUCCUGCCAUUGUUCACACACUAGAUCAGACUGAAUAGUUAGUGAAGGUCAUGUACAGAACAUUUCUGAGCUGCAAAGAUUUUGAAUAAGUGGAAGUAUAGUUACAAUAACCUUCUCCUGAUUUUUUAGCAAAGUCUUGAAAAAUACUGCUGCCUAGCAUCCUGAUGGAAUUGGCUUUUCUUCAGGGUCCCACAGACUGCUCCUGGUGACUCUGACUCAAGCAGACAGAGCUCUCACACUAGGCUAACCAGAUGAGACACACAGUUAAUGAUAUGGCUGUGAUCUGCCGUGGAGCUGAGGAUGUGGAUGAAUUUUAUUCCUUUGAUCACUUCUUCCACAGUGCUGUCAGCAAGUGCCCCCACUCCAACCUUAUGCACAAACACUGCUUCAAACACAAGCAGGGAAGUAGGGACAAAAGGUAAUUUUAAUAUUUCAUUUAUGUCUGUCUUUGGGGAUUAAUGCAGAAGCCUGAAAAGAUUCCAUGCUGACAGGGGGGGAGGCUGGAGGGGGGGAGGCUGGAGCUUGGCACAGCUUCUGUAGCUCUGCCAUUGCUACAAAAAAGCAGCUCAUCCAUUUGCCAGUGGUCAAAGAUUUCAUGAAUGUUAAGUUUUAAGAAGGAAAAAAAAAAUCAUGCCUGAAGAGGCUAAUAUGCAGCCAAAGGUAUUCUGGAAUCCUGCAAAUGUUCUUUUAGAUGCAUCAUUGCCAUUUAUUAAAGCUCUAUAAUUUGCUAUGUUACCCUAUUUUGGAGGGUAAUGGGGAGCCAGGCAUUAGAUUUCUCCCAGUUUGCACCAGAGACACAAGAAUAUUUUCUUGUGGAAACUGUGAAGCACUGAAAGCAGCUUUUCAAGUAUAGAACUGACAGAAAAAACACUGAAAAGUACUUCUCAAUGGAGCACAAAGGACCUGAAAACUGAUGAGGUUGAGCACUUGAUUAUGCCAUGAUAGCAUCUACUUUUAAUUUAAUGUUGUAAAGAUGGACAGGCUGUGGAAAACCAGAGGAAUGAACCUUCCUAGUUUAUUAUCAAUUGCAGUGAAAUUAAGCUAAGUAUGUGAACUCUGCACCUGACUUUGAAGGCAAAUACAGCUAAUCAGUUUGCCAUGGGGCUCUGCUAAUUUACACAGGCCAUAGUGGAAACUGCUGAGCAAACCAUACUGAUCUCAGAGUUGGGAACGAGAAUCCCUACACAGUGCAUGUGAGACAGUCAACCUCCUUCACCCAAGGAGAGUGCACAUUAAAAUCCUCUUCUAGCUGUAUAGGAUAUAUUUCUAAGAAGAGCUAGCACCUUUGGGAGUAAUUCAAAAGCAGGAUAACGAGAGAUGGUAUGGUCUCAGGCUGGACUGGGUACAUUGCUGGCUUUUAGGUGACUCACCAACAGAGACUGCAGCUGCCUUGCAAGCUUUUUCUCUCCUGGAUCCAGAAGCUGACACAGCCCAGAUACUCUUGUGCCAGCACUGUCCCACUGCCUGCCAUGUAACAGCACAUGGAUCAAGAGGGGUCGCCCUAACCUGUAGAUAUCUAUAAGGAAAAUACUGCAAGAAAAAAUUGAGAUCAGAAAAAAAUAACAUAUAAGCAAUGUAACUGCAUUAACUCAAACCCCAAGACUCCUGUCUCCAGAAAACUUGCUCCCAGAAAAAAUUAUUCUUUUACAUUUAUCUCGACUAAUAAUACAUAUUAAAAAAAAUAUGGUUAUUUUAAGAAACAUCUCAAGGUUUGGAGAAAUUGAUUUGGGCAAUCAAUGCCCAAAUAAUUAAAAAAAAUGCAUUAGAGACAGUCCUAUCACCAUUAGAAAACACAAAAAAAGGUAUAUCAAAUCCUGAACUGGCAGGAAGGUAAGCUGAACAGUAAUAAGAUCUCUUGUAAGUGGUGAGAAGAUCACAGAAUCUUCUGGGUUGAAAGGGAUCCCCAAGUAAGUGUCCUGUCCAGGGAUCAAACCCACACCCUUGGCAUUAUUAGCAAAGUGCUCUAACCAACCAAGCUAAUCUAACCUAGACAGGCUUUAUUGUUAAGAGGUUCCAAAAGAACCAUCUGCAAACCCAUCAAAAACCAACACAAAAAACACAACAGAAAAAGCAAAUCCUUUAUCACAAACAAUCAGAAAAAUCUUUGUCAGCAAUGGCAGCUACUGACCCCACUGGAACUGUAAUUUCACUUGAUCUCCAUCAUUGGCCACAUCCACUACCUCAAACAAAUGGGGUCUAUAUCAUUGAGAUCAUUACUGACACAUGGUCUCAUUAAAUUGAUGGUAUUCAUAGGAGGGAUUGGUAACACUGUUAUCAUUUUACAGACCACACAAAGAGUGCUCCGUGCUUCUCAUUCAACGAGUUUCUUAGCUCCUCUGAGAAAUAAUUCAAAUGCAGAUUCAAAGAUGACUCAGGGUCCACUUCAAGGCCUUGAGUCCUCACUUUUCCCCAGCUUCAAAGGUGGGGGCUGUCCCUGGGGUCAUGAAUCGAAUCUCAGUGAGAGGCUCAGGUGCUGCUGUCAACCCCGACUUAGUGUCAGCACACAGAUGGGCUUUCAGGCCUCAGACCUGUUUCCACCAAGGAGACAAACUGCUCCAUCUGUCCGAAACUUCUCACCGUGGGACACUACUUCAGCCCCACAGAUAUUUACAUCACCUGCAGUAAUCUACCCUUAAUCUUUGAGAUUAUCACCUGUUAUCUGGUGGCCAGGCUCAGCACAGAUUACGCUGACUGAAUAAAAUCUGUACACCUCCAAAGGACAGAAAUCUUUACUGUCUAUACUGUCACUAUAAACUUCUUUCUUUUUGAUAUCUUGAUCUGAGUCUCCUGAAUACUUGGCUUCAACCCUGUCCUACAGCUCGUUCCCCAACUCCCUGCCUAGGAAACUUUUUUUUGCCAGACUCCCUGAAAAACUCUCAGGGGUGCUUCUCUCUGCAGCUGGUGUGAACUGAGGAGCAUGGAUCUCACUAGCAGGUUUCACUCCUGACACUUACUUUUGUAAACAAAAAUAAUCCCUCACUACCAGCUAAGCAGAAAGGAGAACUAUGAUGCCAUAAAGACCAAGAUAAUACAUCUGAAUGUUUUGCUAGAGAAAACAUUUUCAAACCACUCAUCUCCAGCUAGCAGAAGAGAAGAAAGCCCAUAGAAAUUGUAGAGAAGAACAGUAAUUAGGGCAGUCUGACAUUUGGUGUCCUACAUUUGUGAAAAUAUUUUCCUAAAAACUUCCCCUGUACAACAACGCAGAACCUAACUUAAUACACACAGUAAAUUGUUGGCUGUCAUUACCAGCAGUAAGACUGGAGAGUUAUGGUUGUAAAGCAGCUGCUGUAACAUUCAGCCAUGUUCUGCUGACAAGGAAAAAAAAAAAACCUAAUGAAAGAUUUAAAGGAAGAAUGUUAUGCAUGAACCUUCUUCGACAGGCAAUUAAAAUACAAAUUGCAAAACACAAAUAAGUACAUUAUGAAACACAGAAAUGCAGGUCAAAGAUUGAAAUCAUUAGCACUGACAGAGUUGUAUUUAAAGCUUUAAUUCUGAGGAUUCUGAUACAUAGGCUGCUAUUCUUCUAAAUGCUACACUUAUAAAUGAAGAUAAAAUGAAACAGAACACUAUAAAUAUUUUCUCCUCAUAACUAUACUUAAAAAGCAGAACCAUGCUUCCACUGUGAUUACACAGGAUGUUAUUCCGUUAACAAUUAAUAUUAGGAGCAAGUGGCAAAGCAAACAAGCCAAAGGGGAAAAAAUCUGCUUUGAAGUAUUACUAAAAGAACUCCAUUCAUCCAUUCGUAACUUAGUUUUUUUAUUAGUGAUGAGGCUUAAUCUCUCCACAGAGGCAGAAAAGUGACAUGGUCACAACUAAACAGUGUUUUGGGCUUAGGUGAAGUGGUUUCCUGACAGUAUCUUUCAAUCACUUGCUGGUGCAACUAUUCCUGGAGGCCGAAAUCUGCUCUACCUGGAAGGUACAAUUUCUUGACAAAGAAUAAUAGCAAGAAAGAAAGACUAAGUACAUUUUCUGAGAAGAAGAAUGAGCUUCACAGAGGUCAGCAUUUUGUCUUCAUUGCUUCUCUUUCCAGAGCAGGAAGAACAGCUUCAAGCAAAUCUGACACAGCAUGCUCUGCAUUAGCAGUUUUCUUCCUCCAUACAUCACCCUGUCUGUACCAACACCCUUUAGAUACCUUGCCAUUAAUCUAGGAGUGGUUUAUACACCUGUGUUUUCCAAGGAGAAAACUCAGCAUACUCCAAAUCCCCAUGCAGAAGCAACAAACAAAGCAACCUUCCUCUUCCUGCAUCACAGGGGAAGGAUUCACCUUGAGACUUAAUUUCACUUUCUGGGGGAUUUAAUAAAUCAGAGAGAAAUGGAUGCAAGAGAUGCACCACCUGUUUGGGGUUUUCAAAGUUUUUAAAGACACACUCUGCUGUAGAACAGACUCUAAUUACAGACAGGUGCCAUCUGAAGUGAUGACUAAGAAGAAAAUUAGGAGACAGUGAAAAAAAGUCUUCCUAUUUUUGUUCCAGUAAAUUGAACAACUCUGAAAUUUACAGUAGAUGUGAGCACAAGAUCCAUGUAUGUAUUCCUGGUAGUCCUUCAAGAUCAUCACAUUAUUUGCUGUGCACUAACAAUAAAGAUGGCUGCCAGGCAAAACUCCAAAUGAAUAAUGUCAUUCUCCACAAACUCCCGUUGCCAUGAGCAAUGGUGUCCACAUGAUGAACACCACACAACCGAGCCAAUAUUCCUUCACCUCUCUGUGGAAUAAUGAAGUUCACUCCACUGUCAUGAUCCAUUCAGAACAUGUGUGAAUGUAUUUCAUUAUCAAGACAAAAGCCAACAGCCAAGCAUGGAGCAAGAAAUAUGCAUCGUAUUCUUGACAAAUAAUGUAUGUAAUAAAAGGUUCCUGUUUCAGAGAAAGGAGUAUAAUCAGGAACAUUUUUUUCCUCGCAUGAAAGAUUUUGAGUUCAGUUUCCCAGCUACAGUUCUACCGAAGAAGCACAGCUAAUUUGUACUCUAGGUGGAGACUAAUGUAAGAUCUUUUAAAUAUAUUUUCUAAUAAGAAGUCAGUAUAUGAUCUAUUUCUGUAAGUAGUAGAACACAGAAAUAAUCCAUUUUGAGGAAGUGCAUGGCUUGUCUGCUGAUGUAAAUAAUCCUUUGAAAUAUCAAUUCUUGCAAAAAAGAUGUUUGUUUAGAAACUGAUACAUGAGAAGGUCUUUCUACAGUCACUAAACCAUUCUAGCUGAGCCUUUAUACUGACCUAUAAUACAUUUUUAGUGCUAUUAUAUAGGAGCCUACAGUUAAAACAAUCUUUUUGAAAUAUUAUUUUACACAUGCCCCAAAUGUUAACUUUGAAUAUAUUGUUUGCAUCUUUCUUUGAAUUGCUUUAAAGUAUUAUAAAUCUUAAAAUAAAACCCUUUCAAGUUAAACAUUUCCUGUUAUUGUAAGCCUUGCAAACUGACUUUAUCACAAAAGAUUUCAUUAUUAUGUUUCCCUCUUAGGAAACAAAUACAUAAAUGAAGUACAUCAGUGAAUUAAAAAUACUCCUCCCUCCCAUCUCAGUUACUAAACUAAGUCCCUUGACUGAGCAGGAGAGUUCAGCAAAUCACUAAGCCCUUUUCUUUGUCUGUGGAAAAGCAAUUUUCAUAGUAAAAAAUUUAACUGUACACAAGUAAACCACCACUGCCACUGAAGUUUUAUACAAUCCUCUGUAAAAUAUUAAGGGCUGAUGAACUUUAGCCAAAGUUUUCUCCUUGAUCACGUCACAGACCGCCUUUGGCUGAUGCAAACUUCAGUAAAUAAACAAAGGGGGAACAAUGCUACAGCUGUGAAAAACCUGCCCCAGUCUCCACUGGAACAACUCAACACUAUCUAAUUACUUUUUCCAUAUCAGAAGAUACAAUGUGCUCCCUGUAUCAGUCUUUUCUGUUCUGAAGCUCAUCUGGAGUCUCCAAAUGACUAUUCCAUGGCUCCCAGAUAUGGUGGUCAAAUCUGGACAUGGCAAUGUGUCCAUGACAGAUAGGCAAACUGGAAUAUCUGCCUGCAACUUUUAUGGAUGUUAACACAUCACACGAUGAAAAUGGAACUUUCUUUAACAAUAUAACACCGUCAUCCUUUCCUGUCACCGUGCUAACUAGCUAUUCACAUUUAUGCCUUAAAUUUCUCCUCAGCAGUGGCAUUCUGCUUUUUAUCGCUGAAUUUCACGUAAGUUCCUUCUAAUUAUUUCUUCAAUUUGCCAGGACCAAAUAAUACUACAUUUUGACUAUCUUCUCAAAGAUUUGUAAGCCCUGGAGUUUGUAAUUCACAUAAUUAAUGAAGACACUCAACUAGGAUGUAUGGUUCUGUACAGCCAUUUCCCUCAGGGACCUGCAUCAAUAUUUGAGACAGUCUCACAGUUUAACAUCAAACCAUUCAGAGUUACUCUUUGGCAGCAACUUCUCAGCCUGUCGUGGUCAUCUGAUGAAAAAUAAAGACUAUAAAGGUGUAUCCACACUGUACCAACUUUAGGGCAAAGCAAUACUGGCAACACCAAAAGCCUUAGAAUGGUCACAAUCACUGCCUCCCUAUUCUUUUAAAUAGCCAAGUUCCUAAUACUGCUAAAGGUAUCUAAUGUCUUGCUGCUCCCAAAGGGAGAGAACUCCCUGCUCACUCCUCUAACCCUCCCUGCUAUAGCCUGCAGGUGUGUGGUCUUAUCCCCAUGGAACAGCAGCUUUAUCUUCCUCAAAUUGCUGAAUUCACUCAAGCACUAGAAAACAAGACAAUUUUCCUGAGUGCAGUGGGUUUACUUGAGUUUACGUGGCUCCUGGAGGCGGGUAUUGUAAAGUACAGGAGGCAGCACCAAGCCACCAGUGUGACAGACUAUCCCACAGCAGGGGUAUCCUCUCUUUGACCCGGCGGCAGGGAGCUCAUUUUAGCCCUGUGUUUCAUGGCACCACAUCCCCCAUCAAAGAAGGAAAUUAUAGUUCUGUGACAGGGUCACUUCCUGACAAGCCUGUAUUAAUAUUUUUAUUACAUUUUAGAUAACUUGAAGUACACUAUUUAGUAUUUCUUACAAGUUUUUGAUUCAUGAUCAAAGAAAACCUUAUGUACUUCUUCAUGAUUA